rfam:Tetrasphaera elongata Lp2 genomic scaffold, 2093_scaffold1
UGAGGAACCCGGUGCAAAUCCGGGACGGUCGCGCCACUGUGAGCCGAGCCAUCGGCGAGUCAGGAACUC